GCCUCUGUAGUUCAGCCUGGUUAGAAUGGCUGCCUCGUAAGCAGCAGGUCGGGAGUUCAAAUCUCCUCAGAGGCU
rnacentral:tRNA from 1 species